UUCCUUGUCACCUUGUCACCGGGAGUUCCUUGUCACCUCAGCCUAUUGGAUAGCAUCAUAUUGUGAGUGUACUAGAAGCACUCUCUAAAUCUGGAACAGAACAAAUUAUUCCAACAGCAAUGGAAACUGCAGUAGCCAUCUCUCUCACUCUGUUCAUACUCACAGGUCUCUGUGGGUGUGUUACCACAAGGCCCUGUGAAUGGAGCAGAAGAAGGGACAGUGUUGUUCAUCACAAAUCUAAAUCCACCAGCCCAGCCGUUCAUAACUGUUAUAGUGUGGACACUAUAUAAAUAAUGACAUGGUUAUUAUUGGUAUUGACCAUGACCUUCCCCUGUUGAUGAUGUCAUCACUAAGAGUGAGUUCUGUGCAAUGUGAUUCUACCACCGGUUGAGUGGGCUAUAUAGUUCUGUUAUAUUUGUACCGUUUGUACCUGGCAAUACACUUUUAGGUUUGGGUUGAAAGUAAAGGAAAGUAAUAUCGAAAUGCGUGUGGGCAUUCCUUGUCAAGUUACUACAAUAACAAUAUGCAGGAGUGUUGGUGGAGUCAAUAUUAUAACCUCUACAGGUGAUGACUCUAUAGGGCCUGGAUACGGAGACAGGAUCACUCUGAACAAAACUACUGGAUCUCUGGAGCUCAGGAAUCUGACCCUGGCUGACAAUGGAGAAUACAGAGUGAUAACAACAGCUACAGCAGAAACAAUCAACUGAACUGGUUGUGUAUGCGAAUGUAUCUGAUGCCAACAUCACAGGACCACCAAACCAUCUGUUUGCAGAUUGGAGCUCCGCCACCUUAACCUGUGAGGCUGCUGGUAACAUCACUACUAUACAAUGGAUGAAGGAAGGUCAGCCUCCGUCUGCUGGUGGCGACAAAUUAUUCUCAGAGGAAAACAGUAAAGUAUCCAUCAGUCCUGUGAAAGACACGACAGCGGAGAAUAUGUGUGUAAACUCACCAACCCUGCCCGCUCUGCUACUGCCUCCUAUAACGUGAUAGUGAACUGUGAGUAAAGGUCUACAACUAAUAUAAUACUCUAUGGAUCGGAUUCUCAGACACAGAUUAAGCCUAGUCCUGAACUAACAAGCACGCUUCCAAGUAUUUUAAAUCCUGGACUAGGCUUAAAGCUGCAAUAUGUAACUUCUUGGGCAAAUCGACCAAAUUCACAUAGAAGUGUGAGUUAUAGAUCUGUCAUUCUCAUUAAAAGCAAGUCUAAGAAGCAGUAGAUCUGUUCUAUGUGCGCUAAUUUUUGCAUCUUUUACUUUCGGUUUUGUACACCAGUUUAAAACUGCUGAAAAUACAUGAUUUUUGGUUGUGAAAAAGAUAUUUAAAAGUGGUUUAGAAGGUUCAAUGAUUGUCUACACAAUACUUGCUUGUUUUGUCACAUAAACUGAAACUAUUCGAAUUUUAGCAACCAGGAAAUGGCGGAGCGAUUUCUGCAUAGUGCACCUUCAAUCUGUGUCUGGGAAAACUGCCCUAUGAGAUAUUACACUCAUAAUGCCCAGUUCUUAGAGCCCACUUUUUUCCUGGUCAGGUCAUGUGGUCAGGAAGAAUUCUUGGCCCUCAUUAUACAGCUGUAGGAUCGUAAUUUGAUUACUGUGUUGCAGGAUUGUCACUCCCUGACCAUAGAGAGCCUUUUUAUUCUCUAUUUUGGUUAGGUCGGGGUGUGACUAGGGUGGGUAAUCUAGGUUGUUUUAUUUCUAUGUUGGCCUGGUAUGGUUCCCAAUCAGAGGCAGCUGUUUAUCGUUGUCUCUGAUUGGGGAUCAUAUUUAGGCAGCCAUUUCCCCACUGUGUUUUGUGGGAUCUUGCUUUUGUGUAGUUGCCUGUGAACACUCCAGAACGUCAUGUUUUGUUUGUUCGUUUGUUUUGUUUUUGCUGAAGUUUCACUUUAUAAUAAAGAUGUGGUACACUGCGCCUUGGUCCAGUUCUUACGACGAUCGUGACAAGGAUAACUUUCCUGCUUUGCAGGAAAUGUAAAAAGUGUAGUGUAUUGAGGUUUUAAAAGGUUUCAGAAGUUUGUCAUUUCCAAUUUGAAAUUCCAGACUUGUUUUUCUUUACAAAAAAUGUAGCAACUCCUACGAAGAUGUCCAUUCGGUAGAGAUAUUCUGAAUGAUCGGCUAUGAAAAGCCAACUGACAUUUACUCCUGAGGUGCUGACCUGUUGCACC